AGGCCUGCAGAGAGAGAGAGGCAGGGUCUGAUCCACAGCCUCUGUGGCAGCUGUUGAUCAGCUGUUGCCUCUCUCUUUCUCUCCC
rfam:Myotis lucifugus cont2.69461, whole genome shotgun sequence.